rnacentral:rRNA from 1 species
AUUGAACGCUGGCGGCAUGCCUUACACAUGCAAGUCGAACGGCAGCGCGGGGGCAACCCUGGCGGCGAGUGGCGAACGGGUGAGUAAUAUAUCGGAACGUACCCAAGAGUGGGGGAUAACGUAGCGAAAGUUACGCUAAUACCGCAUACGAUCUAAGGAUGAAAGUGGGGGACCGCAAGGCCUCACGCUCCUGGAGCGGCCGAUAUCUGAUUAGCUAGUUGGUGGGGUAAAGGCCUACCAAGGCAUCGAUCAGUAGCUGGCCUGAGAGGACGACCAGCCACACUGGGACUGAGACACGGCCCAGACUCCUACGGGAGGCAGCAGUGGGGAAUUUUGGACAAUGGGGGGCAACCCUGAUCCAGCAAUGCCGCGUGAGUGAAGAAGGCCUCGGUUGGUAAAGUACGUCUUUUGUUCUAGGGAAGAAACGGUUAGGGG